AUUGUUGAAUUAUCAUCCGCUGCUGUAUUAAUAAACUUGUACAUCUUCAUGCAGCAUUCUUUGCUCUGAUAGACUUUGCAUAAAAAGAAACCCAAGGUUUUGUCGGAGGAGACCGGAAAGAGAAAACAGGAGUGACAGAAUAAAAGGAAGGAUGAGGAUCAAUAUUGGGCCAGCGUUCGCGCGCUGGCGUGAACUAGAGGAGGAGGGUGUAAUUACGUUGCCAAGAGAAAGUUUUGUUACUUACUGUCUUUCUGUCUUCACCCUUUGCAAGUUUAAGCCAGAUUGAUUUUUAUGCAGAUGUUUGAUUUCCUGCCAACUUCAGUGCCAACACUGGCUGUGCUCACGUGUAAGGAAGGAAGGGCCAUUUAUUGUGUUUAUCAGACGCUUUUGUUGCACUGGCACGAAAGAAGCUUGACUCAAUAAAACAUGAUUCAGACUAAAGUGAAAUCCUACAAAUAUAAGUAUGUCACUGGACCUUACGAGUCUACUACGGCAUUAUAAAAUACUAAACAUGAUCUUAUCCUGAGUGACAAGUAUAAGGGGGUUUCAUAUCUUGUACAUGUAAACACAUCAGAUAGUUUCAUUUUGGUUUGAUCAGUGGGAGUCUAAUGAAUUUGUUUUUAAACAACACCUGUGAUGAAUGUCAAAUAAAAAUGAAUUAUUAUUGUGCAAACCCGAUUGCGUGUCAUUGCAAAAUAUCUCACGGUUAAAUUCAAUGUGUUACAUCACCUCUUCAUUCAUUCACUACAGUACGCAAGAGACAGGGACUUUUUCUUGGAUCCAUUCCCAGUCAAGUGAAACUCCCAGUCAGACAGCAGGCAAAAACAUAUCAGCAUUUAACAAAAUGCUAAAGGCUUGCCAAGAUUAUUUUAAGUAGUGGAAAUUCUAAGUGUCGGUUAACAGAGUUGAGUUUCAGGGUCUUA